CGCCAGAUUGCCCAGUUGGUAGAGCUCCUGACUAGAGAUUCAGGGGGCCCGGGUUCGAAACCCGGUCUGGUCC
rnacentral:tRNA from 1 species